AUUAUAUGUAUAUGUGUGUGUAUAUAUAUAUAUAUAUAUAUAUAGCGGUUUAUUUGAGGGGGGAGCGUUAGGAUAGAUAGAUAGACAGAUCUCCCCCUCCUGUCGUUUAAAAUAGGAAUUAAUUCGGGUUAAUUCUCUCCGAGUGCCACUUCAACCUAAGCUUUCGGGCUUGACCAAGCGGGCAAUACAUAUAUUUAUUAGAUAUAUAGAAUUAGAAAGGUAGGGGGUUGUUUUAGAGGGUCUUUUGGACGAUCCCCAAUCCCUCCCUCCUCUUUUUUUCCUUCCCUUCUUCCACUUUGGCAAAGUGGCGACACAAAGUCUCGGCGCCUCCGCUCAACAAACAAACAAACAAACAUCUCAACCGCUGAGGAUGACUGCUGUAGAUGUGGGCGAAACGUCAGGAGAGAAUGCUUCUGGGACACGGCUAUACAGCUCGGAAAACUCACAGCAAUCCAGAGAGAACUACAGCUAUAACCCUAGAGAGAGAGAGAAAGCGAGAGAGAAGAGAGAGGGAGAGAGAGAGAAAGGAAGAGAGAAGAGAGAGGGAGGGAGGGAGAGAAAGAAAGAAAGAAGAGAGAGAAAGAAAGAGAGAAGAGCGUCCACAAACAGGAGCCCAUUCCCCCCUGGCAGCAGCGGGCAGAUAAACACGCGAGAUUCCCACCCACGAGAGUUUUCGACAAGAAGCUGGAUGCCAAUGAAGAAGCUGUGAAAGAUCAGGCGAAGUCAUGAUGUGCCAAAAGAAAAACAUGCGAUACUUUGCUGUCGCCGAAGACAAACAAGGCAAGACUUCAAUUUUUGAUGCAAGCUGAUGUUUUAACACCAAUGCCAUUGAGGAAUUCCCCAACAGACAGUUCUGAUGGAAAAGGCCAAGGGUCGGUGCAGCAGACUUUUUCUAGAUGCAAGGGGCAAGAGAAGAAAUGAAAUGAAAAUCAAGCAAGAGAAAUUGCUGACAUAGUCUUCAUAUCCAAGAAAUCUGCAAUGAGUGGAAAUGUAUUUUCCAUUUCUCCAUGGAAAACAAGACAUGUUGAGAAGAGAACUCCUGGAUAUGAGGAAAGACUUGUUUAAGCCCAGACCCUGCUUUCAAUUAUGACUUGUCCCAGGCCUUUUGGAAGACCACAAGUCAGGUUGGCAGAAGCUGGGGCUGACAGUGGAAGCUUACACCACUCCCCGGAUUCGAACCUGCGACCUUUCGGCCAACAAGCUUAGCAGCUCAGCAGUUUAAGGAAGGACCCCAGAAAGUGCCUGAGACAGAAAGGAAUACAACAUAUUCCUGAUAUUCUCUCCUCCGUGAACACAAGAUUGAACACACAGAAGUUUCAUCCAAUCUCUGAUGGGCCACCAUUCUUACAGAUGAGCUGUGAUCAUCUCAGUUGACCAACAUAAUUUAGACUAAAGAUAGGACAACUUCCACAAAUUAGUGACGACCAUGUUGGACCUUCCAGAAGCCACCAGAAACCAUCAAAGUUUCCACCAAAGGGUGUGCGCUGAGGAGGAAGAUCCAUGAUGGGGAUUGAAAAUGGAAGCUGGACAUGCCUGCCCAAGCUACAAUUGCCUCGCAUGUGGGAAAACUAGGACGGAAGCACACACAAAGUCAUUGUGACAUCUCCAUGAUGGAAGGACCAGGUGAAGAGGUGGGUACAGGUUUCCCACCCAGACCUUUCAUAGCAGACAGUCUCGUUACGUAGUUAUGGGUUGUAGAGUCCACACAAAGUCAUUGUGACAUCUCCAUGAUGGAAGGACCAGGUGAGGAAGUGGGUACAGACCUAGACCUUUCAUAGCAGACAGUCUCAUUGCAUAGCUAUGGGUUGUAGAGUCCACACAAAGCACAAAGUCAUUGUGACAUCUCCAUGAUGGAAGGACCAGGUGAAGAGGUGGGUACAGGUUUUCCACUCAGACCUUUCAUAGCAGACAGUCUCAUUACAUAGUUAUGGGUUGUAGAGUCCACACAAAGCACACACAAAGUCAUUGUGACAUCUCCAUGAUGGAAGGACCAGGUGAAGAGGUGGGUACAGGUUUCCCACCCAGACCUUUCAUAGCAGACAGUCUCAUUACGUAGUUAUGGGUUGUAGAGUCCACACAAAGCACACACAAAGUCACUGUGACAUCUCCAUGAUGGAAGGACCAGGUGAACAGGUGGGUAUAGAUUUCCCAUCCAGACCUUUCAAAGCAGACAGUCUCAUUACGUAGUUAUGGGUUGUAGAGUCCACAGAUGAGAUGAAAGAAGAAGGAAGCUGCUGAGAUAGCUCAGGAAGGUUACUUGUUUUGGACAUCAAGUCUGUCACACAGCAUGACCCCCAACGUUUGUCUUUGAAAUGGUUCACAAAGAUAAAGCACAGCCCAUUGACCAUGUACAAGUCCUCCAUAGUCAUGAAUUUUGGAUCCAUGGAUUUUACCAUGGAUGGCUUGAAAAUAUUCCAAAAGGCAAACAUUGAUGUUGCCAUUUUAUAUAAGGGAUACCACUUUACUAUAUUGUUGUAUAAGUGGGACUUUAGCUUUCAUAGUUUUUGGUAUUUUCAAGCUGAAGGUGAUUGGACCUGUGGAUGCUGACUCUAUGGAAGUGGUGGACCAACUGUACUUCAGAAUAUAUUAUUGUGAACUGGCAAGGAAAAUCUGUUUAUCACACACAUGGGUUAAAAGUGAGGAACAUUUUCUUUGAAGGAAGGAUGGCAGCUGAGACGCAGUCAUCAAGUACUGUAUAAAGCCAGCAAAGCUACAUCAGAGUCUUGGGAUUUGUUUCCUAGGCACAGUGUUUCCUUGGGCCAAACUGAGGAACCUGUUGAGAUUUUUGAUUUUGUAUCUGGAUUUGAACUGCACACAUAGACUGAGAUCCU